CUGCCCCACUCAUCCAUCCAAGACUGCAAAUUUCUUGAGGACACUUUCCUAUUUGUUUCCUCAGCUCAGAGUAACAGGACAUUAUGGUGCCAUAAAACAAUAAAUGUGAAAAAUCCAAGAAAAUCCAGAAGAUCUGGAAGCAAAAGUAAGACCAGUGAGAUCAGAACAAAAUAGUAACUGACUUGCAACUGGAGAAAACAGAAAAUUAAACAGAAGUGGCCCCCUGGGCAAGUGGAUGAAGAUCAACAUGGGAGGAAUUAUAAGACAUUAAUAACAAUCUUUCAUUUUGCUUUUGUUUAAAGAAAAAAGAAAUUCAGGCUCAUUUCUCAUUA
rnacentral:lncRNA from 1 species